GAUUGCCUUAGUAACGGCGAGUGAAGCGGCAAAAGCUCAAAUUUGAAAUCUGGUACCUUCGGUGCCCGAGUUGUAAUUUGGAGAGGGCAACUUUGGGGCCGUUCCUUGUCUAUGUUCCUUGGAACAGGACGUCAUAGAGGGUGAGAAUCCCGUGUGGCGAGGAGUGCGGUUCUUUGUAAAGUGCCUUCGAAGAGUCGAGUUGUUUGGGAAUGCAGCUCUAAGUGGGUGGUAAAUUCCAUCUAAAGCUAAAUAUUGGCGAGAGACCGAUAGCGAACAAGUACAGUGAUGGAAAGAUGAAAAGAACUUUGAAAAGAGAGUGAAAAAGUACGUGAAAUUGUUGAAAGGGAAGGGCAUUUGAUCAGACAUGGUGUUUUGUGCCCUCUGCUCCUUGUGGGUAGGGGAAUCUCGCAUUUCACUGGGCCAGCAUCAGUUUUGGUGGCAGGAUAAAUCCAUAGGAAUGUAGCUUGCCUCGGUAAGUAUUAUAGCCUGUGGGAAUACUGCCAGCUGGGACUGAGGACUGCGACGUAAGUCAAGGAUGCUGGCAUAAUGGUUAUAUGCCGCCCGUCUUGAAACACGGACCUCCUGUGU
rnacentral:rRNA from 1 species